GGCCCAAUGGUCUAGUCGUAUGAUUCGCGCUUCGGGUUGACCCGGUGAUGGAACCUGUGAUGACGCGAGCUGCGCGAGGUCCCGGGUUCAAUUCCCGGUUGGGCCC